GGGGCUGUUCUGGUUUUGACAGCAUUGACUGCGGGAGGUAAGCACGCCGGGAGUGGAUGGUUGGCCCGUAAAUCCCAGCUGUCAAACAAUUAGUAGGCAACUACAACUAUUCGUACGCUUGCUAGUCUCCAAGAGACCGAGCAUUAAUCAGAGCCGCCAAGGCUGCGGCACUGACGUAUAUCCCUCCGGCUUUAAGCCGCUUAUGUCCGGAUCAAGGGGUAUCAUUCAAAGCGGAUGCGCGGGGCUGACGCCUCUGGUCCCCGCUAAGAUUCAGAGGAUAAGCUUCGGACAAGGGCGUCUUCCCUCAUUCCGCGGCCGACAAUUAAUGGAAGAAUAAGCGUGUAGAAAGCUUUUCGUUGCUUUGUUUGGACGCGGGUUCGACUCCCGCCAGCUCCAC
rnacentral:tmRNA from 1 species